rnacentral:rRNA from 1 species
UACGAAGGGGGCUAGCGUUGCUCGGAAUCACUGGGCGUAAAGGGUGCGUAGGCGGGUCGGUAAGUCCGCUGUGAAAGUCGGGGGCUCAACCCUCGGAUGCCGGUGGAUACUGUCGGGCUAGAGUACGGAAGAGGCGAGUGGAAUUCCUGGUGUAGCGGUGAAAUGCGCAGAUAUCAGGAAGAACACCCGUGGCGAAGGCGGCUCUCUGGGACGGUACUGACGCUGAGACGCGAAAGCGUGGGGAGCGAACAGG